GAUGAACGCUGGCGGCGUGCUUAACACAUGCAAGUCGAGCGAGUGAGUUCUUCGGAACGAUCUAGCGGCGGACGGGUGAGUAACACGUGGGCAACCUGCCUCAUAGAGGGGAAUAGCCUCCCGAAAGGGAGAUUAAUACCGCAUAACAUCGUUGAAGGGCAUCCUUCGAUGAUCAAAGGAGCAAUCCGUUAUGAGAUGGGCCCGCGGCGCAUUGGCUAGUUGGUGAGGUAACGGCUCACCAAGGCGACGAUGCGUAGCCGACCUGAGAGGGUGAUCGGCCACAUUGGGACUGAGACACGGCCCAGACUCCUACGGGAGGCAGCAGUGGGGAAUAUUGCACAAUGGGGGAAACCCUGAUGCAGCAACGCCGCGUGAGUGAUGACGGCCUUCGGGUUGUAAAGCUUUGUCUUUGGGGACGAUAAUGACGGUACCCAAGGAGGAAGUCACGGCUAACUACGUGCCAGCCGCCGCGGUAA
rnacentral:rRNA from 1 species